GACGAACGCUGGCGGCGUGCUUAACACAUGCAAGUCGAACGGAAAGGCCCUGCUUUUGUGGGGUGCUCGAGUGGCGAACGGGUGAGUAACACGUGAGUAACCUGCCCUUGACUUUGGGAUAACUUCAGGAAACUGGGGCUAAUACCGGAUAGGAGCUCCUGCUGCAUGGUGGGGGUUGGAAAGUUUCGGCGGGUGGGGAUGGACUCGCGGCUUAUCAGCUUGUUGGUGGGGUAGUGGCUUACCAAGGCUUCGACGGGUAGCCGGCCUGAGAGGGUGACCGGCCACAUUGGGACUGAGAUACGGCCCAGACUCCUACGGGAGGCAGCAGUGGGGAAUAUUGCACAAUGGGCGGAAGCCUGAUGCAGCGACGCCGCGUGCGGGAUGACGGCCUUCGGGUUGUAAACCGCUUUCGCCUGUGACGAAGCGUGAGUGACGGUAAUGGGUAAAGAAGCACCGGCUAACUACGUG
rnacentral:rRNA from 1 species